CGGCGGGGUUCAUUUGCUGAAAGGAUUUUACAAGGGCAUGCACGGAUGGGCCUAGGAGGAGGUUCAGAUCCCUCAGGUUUGGCUAAGCAAGAGUCAUGGUGGUGCUCCCGGCUGGCUCUCAGGAGCAGAUGUGCUUCUGACCCGACGUCUUCCCCCAGAGAGGGCUGAAGUGGAAAAAACCCCAGAAUUUCUCCCUGGGACAGGUGAAGCGAUGGGGCGUGGGACAUUCCUGGGUCUCGACUCUGUUCAGGGCCUAGGGGUUGGGUGGGGAAGGCACUUGAGGGAACCUUCCUGGAGCCCGUAGGAGCUUCAUCCGAGCUCCUGGGUCACCCCGCCCACCAGAGUCCAGGCCCACCAGAGUCCCCUGCCACCUGUGCUCACCCUAGCCUUACCCCUCGCUCUACUCCCGCCCUCGCCCUAUCCUCGCUCCUCGCCCUACGCUUGCCCCUCGCUCUGGAGCUGCGAUGCCAGCCUCAGGGCUUUCAGUCCUGCCUUGAUCUUUUUUUAUACUGAAACUCAAUUUUACACACACAAACCCACUCCCAGCCAGCCUCUGCCUUUUGCCUUUUCCUCAUGUUCUCAUUGAAUAGGAAGAAAUGCCCUUUUUUUUCCCCCCUAGAAGGAGUCUUGCUCUGUUGCCAGGCUGGAGUGCAGUGGCACGAUCUCGGCUCACCGCAACCUCCACCUCCCGGGUUCAAGCGAUUCUCCUGCCUCAGCCUCUCGAGUAGCUGGGAUUACAGGUGCCCACCACCACGCCCAGCUAAUUUUUUUUUGUAUUUUUAGUACAGACGGGGUUUCACCAUGUUAGGAUGGUCUCGAUCUCCUGACCUCGUGAUCCGCCUGCCUCGGCCUCCCAAAGUGCUGGGAUUACAGGCGUGAGCCACUGUAGCGGCCCCCACCCCAUUUCAUUUUUUAUUUUUUUAUUAUACUUUAAGUUCUAGGGUACCUAUGCACAACGCGCAGGUUUGUUACAUAUAUAUACAUGUGCCAUGUUGGUGUGCUGCACGCAUUAACUCGUCAUUUACAUUAGGUAUAUCUCCUAAUGCCUUCCCUCCCGCCUCCCCCAGGCCCUUAGUUUGUGCUGCUCUGCGUUGGUUUUCUGCGUGUGCUAAAAGGGGAGGGAGAGUUUCUGUGCCCAUUCCCAGGCACCUUCUUGCAGCCGCAGGCAUCUCCCCCACACGUGCUUCUAGCUUCCCGGGUGUGGCGUGAGCCAUUGCGUCCGGCCAGAAAUGUUUUAUUUCUUGAGAACUUGUCUGUCUCUGUGAUGACUGUGGGUUGUCCAGCUCAUCCCUCAAGCGCCAUCCUGCCAGGCCCUUCACUGUGGUGAGAAACCGGCCUACUCACAUCACAGGUGCCCCUGGAGUUUCUCAAACUGCAGCCCAAGGAUUGGCUGCUUGCUUUUGUAAAAAAAAAUGUUUUAUUAGAGUGCAGCCACGGCUGCUUCUGCACUACAGUGGCAAUGGUGACAUUGAGUGUGGCAGAGACCGAGUGUCCCUUGAGCCUAAAAUAUUUACUAUCUGGCUCUUCAACAAAAAGUGUGCUGACCCCCGGUGAUUGCUUGUAUGUGGCAGGGGUCUAAGGCCUGCCUGCACGUCCUGGGACAGCCCACGCUUCCACAGGGUUCCAGCAUGCUUUCCGCCGAGAAAUCGCUCCCUUUGCUGUUUGUUUUGUAUUGAAUGUUUCUUCAUGCUUUUGUUUUACUUUCAGGGAUAAUUAUAUAAUGUUAUGUUUCAUCCACAUUAUUUUAGUAUGGAUAUUUAUAAUUUCCUAAAGCACUAUUUUUUUUUUUUGAGACAGAGUCUUGCUCUGUCGCCCAGGCUGGAGUGCAGUGGCUCGAUCUCUGCUCACUGCAAGCUCCGCCUCCUGUGUUCACGCCAUUCUCCUGCCUCAGCCUCCCAAGUAGCUGGGACUACAGAUGCCCACCACCAUGCCCAGCUAAUUUUUUUGUAUUUUUUUAGUAGAGACGGGGUUUCACUGUGUUAGCCAGGAUGGUCACGAUCUCCUGACCUCGUGAUCUGCCCACCUCGGCCUUCCAAAGUGUUGGGAUUACAGGCUUGAGCCACUGUGCCCGGCCCAUAAAGCACUAUUUAAUGACUGCUCCAUAAAUACAAACUUCCUUUCCUUAUUAUUAUUAUUUAUUUUUUUUUUGAGAUGGAGUCUUGCUCUCGUCCCCCAGGCUGGAGUGCAGUGGCGCGAUCUCGGCUCACUGCAACCUCCGCCUCCCGGGUUCAAGCAAUUCUCGUGCCUCAGCCUCCCGCGUAGUCGGGAUUACAGGUGCAUGCAGCCAUGCCCGGCUAAUUUUGUAUUUUUAGUAGAGACAAGGUUUCACCAUGUUGGUCAGGCUGGUCUCCAACUCCUGACCUCAAGUGAUCCGCCUGCCUCGGCCUCCCAAAGUAGUGGGAUUGCAGGCGUGAGCCACCGCGCCGGGCCCCCACCCCAUUCUUUGAUCCUGCAGGCAGGCCCUUCGUUUGUGCUGCUCUGCGCUGCUGCUUAUCUGUGUGUGCUAAAAGGGGAGGGAGUGUUUCUGUGCCCAUUCCCAGGCACCUUCGUGCAGCUGCAGGCAUCUCCCCCACGCGCUUCCAGCUUCCCUUAGUGUGCCUAAAGAAAGGGAAAGGAAUGUGCUUUAGGCCCACUGUUUUCACUGGGGCCCAUCUAUGUAUGUGGCUUGGUGAUUACCCAGGAACCUCCCAAGUCUGUGCCCGAGUUGCUUAUCUGUGUUUUACAGCCUGAAAGAUCAGGCUGCUCUUUGUUAGGAGAAGUGAUUUCUUUGAACUGCGUGGUGUGGUGAGAAAGGGAGCAAUUUCUAAGCUGCUUUUUGUUAGGAAGUUUUUUGCUGGGGACUCUCUUCGCCCUAUCUACCUAAAUGAUUUCUGUUUCUUACAUCAAUUGGGUAUUGAUUUCAGGUAGAAUGGGUGAAUGCAUUUAUUCGUUCAUCUAAGCCGCAUUUACUCCUUUCUUUUCUUUCACUGUUGUUUUUUUUUUGAGACGGAGUCUUGCACUGUCACCCAGGCUGGAGUGCAGUGGUGCGAUCUCGGCUCACUGCAAGCUCCACCUCCCGGGUUCAUGCCAUUCUCCUGCCUCAGCCUCCCGAGUAGCUGGGACUACAGGCGCCCACCACCACGCCCGGCUAAGCUAAUUUUUUGUAUUGUUAGUAGAGACGGGGUUUCACCGUGUUAGCCAGGAUGGUCUCAAUCUGACCUUGUGAUUCCGCCCACCUCGGCCUCCCAAAGUGCUGGGAUUACAGCCGUGAGCCACCGCACCUGGCCUCUUUCAGUUUUGAUAGCAGAUUAUUUCCUUUGGCCCUGCGUGGUCUCUCUCUGGCUGGGCAGCUCUGGGCCAGCCAUAAAUGGAGGGGAGGGCGUGUGUGUGGCCACGUGUGUUUCUGUCCUGGACAACACUGUCCGGAGGGGCCUAAGUGGGAAGUGCCCUCAACCAAGGAGAUAGCUGCUGUGUGUGUGUGUGUUGUGUGUGGUUGGGACAGUCGGGGAUUCUCACUUUUUUUUAAAAUUUGAGAUGGAGUUUCACUGUCGUCACCCAGGCUAGAGUGCAAUGGUGUGAUUUCGGCUCACUGCAACCUCUGCCUCCCGGGUUUAAGCGAUUCUCCUGCUUCAGCCUCUCAAGUAGCUGGGAUUACAGGUGCCCGCCACCACGCCCAGCUAAUUUUUGUAUUUUUAGUAGAGACGGGGUUUCACCACGUUGGCCAGGCUGGUCUGGAACUCCUGACCUCAGGUGAUCCACCUGCCUCGGCCCCCCAAAGUACUGGGAUUACAGGCGUGAGCCACUGGGCGCAGCCUGGGAUCCUCACUUUUUCGCAGAUUGGUCACUAGCAGGGCGUCUGAUGGAACUUUCUGAGAUGCCGGAAAUGUUCUCUGUGCUGUACAAAAGGGAUGCCACUAGCCACAUGCCACGUAGAACAGUUGAAAUGUGGCCAGCAUGAGAUUUUUUUAAUCUUGCCAAUUUUUGAUGGAUUUAAGUUUAAGCACCUGCGUGUGAGCGGCUACCGCGUGGGCUGGGAUUGGAGGAAGCUGGAAAGCGCUCCCCUGCGUUUCGGCUGCUGGCCCAGCAGAGGGCGCCGGAGAGCGGACGGAGCCGCAGGCGGGGUUGUGGGAAGACGCUGGGAUCCCGUGCGCGCUUGUGCUCCUUCCUUCUGGGCCAGCGCGCAGACUAUCAACCGAGGUAUUCAGUCCCUCGGAAACCCAGUUCCUCCGUUUCCAGGCUUCUCGCCCACACGGAGACAGUCGCUCUCACACGUACCUCUCGCGGGCUCUUACUCGUGGUCCCGGUCUCCUCCUGGUCCCCACCUUCCAGCCCAGCGCGCACACUAGACGGCACGUGCUCUCCACGCUCUUUCUCCAGCGCCCCUUGCUCACCCGCCCCCCGUUGGAGUGGCCCAUCCUCUCCGCUUAGACACCUGCAGUCACUGUCACUAGCUGAACUGCGCCCUCCUGAAAGCUCUAUGUUGAAACCCUACCCCCCACCCUGCACCGACCCCGUACCCCAGAAUGGGGCUGUAUUUGGAGACAGGGCCUUUACAAGGUAAGUAAGGUUAAAAUGAGGACAUUAGGGUGGGUCCUAAUCCAAUCUGACUGUUAUAUAGUGGGGUUGCACCUUCAUGUGAGGACGCCGGGAGAAGACAGCCGUCUGGGAGCCAAGGAGAGAGGCCUUGGCGGAAGCCAACCCUGCAGCACCUUCAUCUUGAAUUUCUGGUUUCCAGAACUGUGAGAAAAUCCAUUGACGUUCUAUAGCGCUCCCAGCUGGCGGUACUUUGUUAUGACAGCCCUAACAUGAAUGCAGCCAUCCACACUGUCUGGGGGAAGGCACACACACCCCACAGCACCCUUGCUGUCUCACCCCGUAUCGCAAAAGCUCACGCAUGUGUCUCUCCCGAGUCCCUGGAGGGUCCUGCCACCUACAUCUCUCUCCUUGGCCUGCCGCCUGUGAUGCUCCUGGGCCCCCUGCUCCAGCACCGCUCCCUUCCUUCUGUAAUACAGACAACAGAGACAGGAGAUGGCCUGGCCCCACUUCAUUUCUGUUCCCUGGGAAAUAAGCAUCGCAAGUGAUCCGUAGAAUGGUAGACAUCAUCCACUUCCCAAGCAUCUCUGGCUGAAUGCUGUUCUCAUCCACUUCCCAAGCAUCUCUGGCUGAAUGCUGUUCUACACAUGCACGUGGGAGGCACCAGGGAGCCCAGAAGAAAUGAAAAGCCUGGGCAGACUCGCAGUUCUGCCACACAGUGAAUGUGCUACUCAAGCCACUCAGCCUGGGCUGCAGAGGUUGGAAGCCUCACUGGCCUGAGGUUUCUGAGUAAGCUCUGACCCAAUCAUUGACUAUUAAACUUCAGAGGUCCAUGGAGACCUCUUAGGAGUCUUUGAAGGAACUUAGCAUAGAUACCGAUAGCUGCUGACUGCAGGGAGAUGGGGAGAUAUGUUUUGUAAACCUGUCCAGGCAACUUUUUUGCCUACGGAAACACACAAAAACGAAAACAAACCAAUGAAAAAAACCUCUCAGAACGAUACAGAAUCCAGAGCCACUACAACACAUUUCAUGAAGUGGCGUGAGCCUGUAAUUCCAGCAGUUUGGGAGGCCGGGGCGAAUGGAUGACUUGAGGUCAGGAGUUCGAGACCAGCCUGGCCAACAUGACAAAAUCACCAUCUCUACUAAAAAUACAAAAAUUAGUCAUGCAUAGUGGCAUGCACCUGUAGUCCCAGCUACUCGGGAUGCUGAGAUGGGAGAAUCGUUUGAGCCCGGGAGGUGGAGGUUGCAGUGAGCCGAGAUCGCACCAUUGCACUCCAGCAUGGACAACAGAGCAAGACCCUUUCUUAGAAAAAAGAAAAGUAUCCCCGAACAUUAUCAGAGUCAAGUUAAUAAAGGCCAAAGGUAGAGAAAAUCUUGAAAGUAUCGAGAAAAUGACAUGUCAAUCAUAAGGUCAGGUUCUUCAACAGUCAUACUGACAUUGUGGCUGGAAUAUUUGUUGUUGUGGGAUAUAUAUAUAUAUAUAUAUUUAGAGUGUUGUGGGAUAUAUAUAUAUAUUUAGAGACAAGGUCUUGCUCUAUCACUAAAGCUGCAUUGCAGUGUGUGAUCAUAGCUCACCAUGGGAUUCUUGAUUUUCAGUGAGUAUAAAGUGUAAGACAAAAUAAGUCUUAGUUCAGGUAUGCUGGAUGGGAAGCCAGAGGUCUGCAUAGCAGUUACAAAGAAGGCCUUAUUAUCUGGAAGAAAAGGGACCAUAGAAUGUCCAUUGGUUGGGGAACAACCCAGCUUUAGUUUUUCCAGAUUCUCUGCAUGUGCAGGUUUAUGAGACUGGAGAACUUUGAUUUCUUCUUCCUCCUCCUCCUCUCUUUUCUUCUUCCUCUUCCUCCUUUUUCUCCUCCUUUCUUCCUUUAUUUUUCUUUCUUCCUUUCCUCCUCUUUCUUCUCCUUUUUCCUCCUCUUUUCUUCCUUUCUUCUCUUUUUCUUCUUCUUUUUUUUUUUUUUUUAAAAGACCGUGUUUCGCUCUGUCACCCAGGCUGGAAUGCAGUGGCGUACUGUUUUAGAAAAGUGAAAGAGGGCCGGGCGUGGUGGCUCAUGUCUGAAAUCCUAGCACUUUGGGAGGCUGAGGCGGGUGGAUCACCUGAGGUUGGGAGUUCGAGACCAGCCUGGCCGACAUGGCAAAACCCUGUCUCUACUAAAAAUACAAAAAUUAGCCGGGCAUGAUGGCAGAUGCCUGUAAUCUCAGCUCCUCAGUAGGCUAAGGCGGGAGAAUCGCUUGAACCCAGAGGCAGAGGCUGCAGUGAGCCAAGAUUGCAGCAUUGCAGGAAAGAGAGAAAAAGGAGGGAAGGGGAAGGAAAAGGAAAGAAAGAAAAGAGGGGAAGGGAAGGGAGAGAUUUAAAAAACAAUAGUAAAGAGAGAUUUAAAAAACAAUAGUAAAGAGAGAUUAAAAAAAAAAAGUAAAUGGGCCAGGUGCGAUGGCUUGUGCCUGUAAUCCCAGCAGUUUGAGAGGCUGAAGUGGGAGGAUCACUUGAAGCCAGGAGUACCAGACCAGCCUGGGAAACAUAGUGAGAC
rnacentral:lncRNA from 1 species